UUUUAUUCGUAGGACACGAUUUUAUGCACGAAAAUUAUAUAUGUAUAUCUAUAUAUAUUCGGUUCUUCGGAAAAUAAUUUCGUUUCUUCGCACGAGUGUCGCUAGUCGAACGUUUAUGCAGCCAACUUCGUUCCAAAUCGUGUUGCUCGGAAAGUAAUUUCGUUUUUUCACACGAGCGGCGCUAGUCGAACGUUUAUCCAGCCAACUUCGUUCCAAAUCGUGUUGCUCGGAAAGUAAUUUCGUUUCUUCGCACGAGUGUCGCUAGUCGAACGUUUAUGCAGCCAACUUCAUUAUAAACCAUGUUGCUCGGAAAGUAAUUUCGUUUUUUCACGCGAGUGUCGCUAGUCGAACGUUUAUCCAGCCAACUUCGUUCUAAACUGCGUUGUUAUCGUAUAUUUUGAGAGUUAGCGGUUCGUGGUUUAUUUAUAAAAAAAAUUCGUUCGAUUCUGUGCGGUUACGUUCUUCGUUAAUAAAGAUGCGGGAUCAUUUUCGGCAUAUUUUACAUUUUUAUCACUGAAAACAGUGAAAAUGCUGUUCAAGCAGAAAGAUGUAUUAACAAUACGCCAGUGUCAAAAAUUGAUUUUCAAAAUUUCGUCCCGACAAUUUCAACGUUAAAAAUGCGCUACGUUGAAAACAUCGAUCGAAGUAAACCGGCGAACAAUGACUCGAGAUUGCUAGGAGAUUGUGAAAUUCCAUUGUUGAUGAUCAUGCGAAACGACUUGGUGUUUCACUGUCGCGAAAAAAACGAACUUAACCUCUCGUUCGAGGCUCUUUAUUAAUCGAUCCACAAUUUCAUCGGCCAUUUUUCUCGACGCGUCCGUUCGUCAAAAUCGCGGUCAAACUUCAUUGACCAUCGCCAUCGAAUUACCGAAAGGAACGAUCGACUUGAUGAUUAAUUUCCGCUCGGUUGGCGGUUUCUAACACGCGCAUGCAAUUUCCGCGCGUGGCAUGGAAAGUCGAGAAAUAUCUCCUUCGUGAAAUUCGCCUAAAAGCCCUGCUGCCGCAAUACCCGCCGACAUCUUAGAUUGAUUAAGCGGCACCCGGCAAUCUUGCCCCCCUGCUAAACGUCUCGCAUCUGUCACCGAGCUUUUCCACCUUCGAAACCUUCGAGUUUCCAACACGCAUGCACUUACACGGCCAACGUUCCGGGGAGAGGCCGUUCCACUAUCCACGCUCGCGCAUCCAAAGAAAAUUUUCUCUCGCGUCGCGCGAAAUUGCGAGAUGAUUGCGCGCAUUACGCGAUCCUAUUACCGAGCUUUCGCUAUUUCGUGAAAGCCGGCAAAUAUGUAGAGGAUGAAGUUAUCGGAGGACGCGUUAAUUUACGUACGAUUCUUUUUUUUUUUUUUUUUAGAGUUUUGUUCACUAAUGGAAAAAUGCUUCAAGGAAGGUAUGCGAAUCUGAUUGGAAUUCAAUUUGGAAAGAAAUUAUUUUUGCUUCUGUCGUGUCAUAUUUAUCGCAUAUAUUAAUAUAAAAUAUAUUAAUACACAAUCUAUACGUGAACCUCGAUGCAUCAGCGUAGAAUCGAAAGAAUUCUAAUGUAUCGAUAUAAUGCAAAAAUUAUCACGAUACUAAUCCAAAACGAUGAUCUAUACUCGAUAUGAUAUAAAAAUUUAUUUCUCAACGAUAUCUGCAAUUACGAUUUCUUUUGUACUGCUAUGUAGCGUGUGAUGUCGACAAAGCGUCUGAAGUGGAGAUAGGCUCUUCUUGUCUCUGUACUUGUCCCGCGAGACUUUUUUCCACCAAGUGAACUGUACCGUUGGAUGUAUUUUAGAGAGUAUUUAUAUUUGAGGUUUUAAAGAGGUUGUGGAUUGUAGAAAUCUGAAAGAGAAAA